GAUGAACGCUAGCUCCAGGCUUAACACAUGCAAGUCGAGGGACCGGCGCACGGGUGAGUAACACGUAUCCAACCUGCCCUUUACUCGGGGAUAGCCUUUCGAAAGAAAGAUUAAUACCCGAUAUAAAGGAUGGGGAUGCGUUCCAUUAGGUUGUUGGUGAGGGAACGGCCCACCAAGCCUUCGCUGGAUAGGGGUUCUGAGAGGAAGGUCCCCCACACUGGAACUGAGACACGGUCCAAAAUCCUACGGGAGGCAGAAGUGAGGAAUAUUGGUCAAUGGGAGGUAGCCUGAACAAGACAAGUAGCGUGAAGGAGGAAGGCUUAUGGGUGGUAAACUUCUGUUAUAUAAGAAUAUGUAUUAGAUGAAUAAGGAUCGGCUAACUCCGUGCCAGCAGCCGCGGUAAUUC
rnacentral:rRNA from 1 species